rnacentral:rRNA from 1 species
CUACGGGGUGCAGCAGUGGGGAAUAUUGCACAAUGGAGGAAACUCUGAUGCAGCAACGCCGCGUGGAGGAUGACACUUUUCGGAGCGUAAACUCCUUUUAUAUAGGAAGAAGAUGACGGUACUAUAUGAAUAAGCGCCGGCUAACUCCGUGCCAGCAGCUGCGGUAAUACGGAGGGCGCAAGCGUUACUCGGAAUCACUGGGCGUAAAGAGCGUGUAGGCGGAUUAAAAAGUCAGAAGUGAGAUCCUAUAGCUUAACUAUAGAACUGCUUCUGAAACUCUUAAUCUAGAAUAUGGGAGAGGUAGAUGGAAUUUCUGGUGUAGGGGUAAAAUCCGUAGAGAUCAGAAGGAAUACCGAUUGCGAAGGCGAUCUACUAGAACAUUAUUGACGCUGAGACGCGAAAGCGUGGGGAGCAAACAGGAUUAGAUACCCCAGUAGUC